UACAGAGGCCUCGAGCGUUAAUCGGAAUCACUGGGCUUAAAGGGCGCGUAGGCGGCCUGAUAAGUAGGGGGUGAAAUCUUGCGGCUUAACCGCAAGGCUGCCUUCUAAACUGUCAGGCUAGAGCACAGUAGAGGCAGGUGGAAUUCCCGGUGUAGCGGUGGAAUGCGUAGAGAUCGGGAAGAACAUCAGUGGCGAAGGCGGCCUGCUGGGCUGUUGCUGACGCUGAGGCGCGACAGCGUGGGGAGCAAACAGG
rnacentral:rRNA from 1 species